rfam:Oryza brachyantha chromosome 6, whole genome shotgun sequence.
AAUAACUUCAUUUUUCGUUUUUCCGUGUCCAACGUUCGACCAUUCGUCUUAUUCGAAAUUUUUUUGCGAUUAAUAUUUUUAUUAUUACUAGAUGAUAAAAUAUAGAUAAUACUUUAUACGUGACUAAUUUUUUUUAGUUUUUUGCAUAAAUUUUUCAAAUAAAACGAAUGGUCUAACUUUAAACAUGAAAAA